AGCAAUUAUAUGAAGGAAUAACAGAUUCAGAACAAUAAGACGUAUUAAUAACCCCCCUAUAGUAUGCAGACAUGAAUUCAAAGCAAAGUUUUGAAUCUACUAGGCAUAGCUGGACAAUAUCUAGUAGUACAGCAUAGGGAUCUUCACUCUACGCAAAAAUUACAUAAACAACGAUUAUAACAGGACACACCUUUUUCUCAGCAGCUGCUUUUAGUUUGCCCCAAAAUGCUUCUGUAACAAGAAAGUGAUUCAGUUACUGAGAUCUUUCCAUAAAGGUGUAAGAGAUACAAACUGAGCAAUCUCAAUAUUGCCAAAUAACUUCAUUACCAUUAAAAAUAAUUUCAACUCUGAAAAGAAUCAAAAUAAGUAGAGUUUUUGAAUUUUAUUUUCAAUAUCAAAAAAUUUAGAUAGGUUUUUGGAAUUUAAAUUACUAACAAGAAGAUUGCUGCAGAAACUUUAAGAGGGGACCUCCGAAAAGAGAAGAAAAUGAAAACAAAAGACAGUACGCAGUAACUUAAGAUGGAUAUUAAAUGACUAACAAUCUCUAAGAAUAUAUACUUUAGAGAAAUGAGCGCACCCUUAAGAAACGCAGUUGAGUAGGUUGUUUAGUUUUUACGAUCUAAAGACAGCAGUAUUCUCAUGCAGGUUGAAAAUUCCAAAGUUAUUACUACAUGAUAAAGAAUAGUUUUUGGUCAUUUUCACCCGAGCAAAGCAACUGAUAACGUCAUAACAUACCACCAUGAUCCAUUGCUCGAGUACUGGACUCUACACUUCCCUUACUAUGCCCGUCUAGCAAUUGCUUCACCUGAUGAAGCUUUUGGUGUUAGGAGAAAUAAUCAUAACCUGAAAGCAAAGCUUCAGACGAUUACAUAAGGAAAAAUUUCUGCCAUACCUCCUCUUUCUGCUUGGAUUGGGAAGUUGAUUGCCUUGAUGUAUCCAACUCAAGCUGAUGGGAACAACACAACACAAAGGAGAGUCAGCAGGUAAGACGAUUAAAAAGAAAGCACUAGGAAACUGAAGAAGAAAAAGAACCAGCUGGAAAAUAAAUGAAACUAGCACUAGAUGAGAUCAAUAUGAUCAGGAUGG
rnacentral:lncRNA from 1 species